rnacentral:rRNA from 1 species
AAUCAACGCUGGCGGCGUGCCUAACACAUGCAAGUCGCACGAGAAAGAGGGGGCAACCCUUGAGUAAAGUGGCGUACGGGUGAGUAACACGUGACUAACCUACCUCCGAAUGGGAAGUAACACCGGGAAACCGGUGCUAAUACCGCAUAACAUCUACGGAUCAAAGCAGCAAUGCGUUUGGAGAGGGGGUCGCGGCUGAUUAGCUAGUUGGUAAGGUAAUGGCUUACCAAGGCGACGAUCAGUAUCCGGCCUGAGAGGGCGCACGGACACACUGGAACUGAAACACGGUCCAGACUCCUACGGGAGGCAGCAGUGGGGAAUUUUGCGCAAUGGGGGAAACCCGUGACGCAGCAACCGCCGCGUGGAGGAUGAAGGUCUUUGGAUUGUAAACUCCUUUCGAUCGGACGAUUAUGACGGUACCGGAAGAAGAAGCACCGGCUAACUCUGUGCCAGCAGCCGCGGUAAG